rnacentral:rRNA from 1 species
UACGUAGGAGGCAAGCGUUGUCCGGAUUUACUGGGCGUAAAGAGCGUGUAGGCGGUCCGGUAAGUCAGCUGUGAAAGUCAAGGGCUCAACCCUUGAAAGCCGGUUGAUACUGUCGGGCUAGAGUCCGGAAGAGGCGAGUGGAAUUCCCGGUGUAGCGGUGAAAUGCGCAGAUAUCGGGAGGAACACCAAUGGCGAAGGCAGCUCGCUGGGACGGUACUGACGCUGAGACGCGAAAGCGUGGGGAGCAAACAGG